GAUGAACGCUGGCGGCGUGCCUAAUACAUGCAAGUCGAGCGAACAGACGAGGAGCUUGCUCCUCUGACGUUAGCGGCGGACGGGUGAGUAACACGUGGAUAACCUACCUAUAAGACUGGGAUAACUUCGGGAAACCGGAGCUAAUUCCGGAUAAUAUAUUGAACCGCAUGGUUCAAUAGUGAAAGACGGUUUUGCUGUCACUUAUAGAUGGAUCCGCGCCGCAUUAGCUAGUUGGUAAGGUAACGGCUUACCAAGGCAACGAUGCGUAGCCGACCUGAGAGGGUGAUCGGCCACACUGGAACUGAGACACGGUCCAGACUCCUACGGGAGGCAGCAGUAGGGAAUCUUCCGCAAUGGGCGAAAGCUUGACGGAGCAACGCCGCGUGAGUGAUGAAGGUCUUCGGAUCGUAAAACUCUGUUAUUAGGGAAGAACAAAUGUGUAAGUAACUAUGCACGUCUUGACGGUACCUAAUCAGAAAGUCACGGCUAACUACGUG
rnacentral:rRNA from 1 species